rnacentral:rRNA from 1 species
ACGUUCGGAUUGCAGCCUGCAACUCGGCUGCAUGAAGCCGGAAUCGCUAGUAAUCGCGGAUCAGAAUGCCGCGGUGAAUACGUUCCCGGGUCUUGUACACACCGCCCGUCACACCAUGGGAGUCGGAAAUGCCCGAAGUCUGUGACCUAACCGUAAGGAAGGAGCAGCCGAAGGCAGGUCGGAUGACUGGGGUGAAGUCGUAACAAGGUACC